AUAUUACCGACGAGUCCCAAAUAGGACGAAACGCGCAUCCUGGAU
rnacentral:hammerhead_ribozyme from 1 species